rnacentral:rRNA from 1 species
GAUACCCUGGUAGUCCACGCGGUAAACGAUGAUUACUAGGUGUUGGGGGACCAAGGUCAUUCUGUGCCGUCGCAAACGCAAUAAGUAAUCCACCUCGGGAGGACGUUCGCAAGAAUGAAAGUCAAAGGAAUUGACGGGGACCCGCACAAGCGGUGGAGCGAUGCGGUUUAAUUCGAAGCAACGCGAAGAACUUUUCCUUCUCGUGUCAUCCCAAGGAUGAGUGAGUAAAGUCACUUUCCCUUCUGGGCAAUGGAGCCAGGUGGUGCAUGGUUGUCGUCAGCUCGUGUCGUGAGAGGUUGGGUUAAGUCCCGCAACGAGCGCAACCCCUAUCUUCAGUAGCCAGCAGGCAGAGCUGGGGACUCUGGAGAGACUGCCCCGGCGAAUUGGGAGGAAGGCGGGGAUGACGUCAAAUCAUCAUGCCCCUUAUGAUCAGGGCGACACACGUGUUACAAUGGGGUGAACAGAGGGAAGCGAAAUGGUGACACGAAGCAAAUCCGAGAAACAACUUUUCAGUUGGGUUGGUAUUUUGCAACUCGAUCACAGGAAGCGGGAAUCGUUAGUAUUCGGGAUUCAGCAUGUCGCGGUGAAUACGUUCCCGGGUCUUGCACUCACCGCCCGUCA